rnacentral:SRP_RNA from 1 species
CGUCGGCGCCUUCGCGACGAUAGAUUGAAAACCCCGCCAGGCCCGAAAGGGAGCAACGGUAUUGAUCGACUCGGGCGCCGGAGAUCCGUCGGCGGGG